UGGGGAAUAUUGCACAAUGGGCGCAAGCCUGAUGCAGCCAUGCCGCGUGUGUGAAGAAGGCCUUCGGGUUGUAAAGCACUUUCAGCGAGGAGGAAGGUGGUGAACUUAAUACGUUCAUCAAUUGACGUUACUCGCAGAAGAAGCACCGGCUAACUCCGUGCCAGCAGCCGCGGUAAUACGGAGGGUGCAAGCGUUAAUCGGAAUUACUGGGCGUAAAGCGCACGCAGGCGGUUUGUUAAGUCAGAUGUGAAAUCCCCGGGCUCAACCUGGGAACUGCAUUUGAAACUGGCAAGCUAGAGUCUCGUAGAGGGGGGUAGAAUUCCAGGUGUAGCGGUGAAAUGCGUAGAGAUCUGGAGGAAUACCGGUGGCGAAGGCGGCCCCCUGGACGAAGACUGACGCUCAGGUGCGAAAGCGUGGGGCAGCAAACAGGAUUAGAUACCCUGGUAGUCCACGCUGUAAACGAUGUCGAUUUUGGAGGUUGUGCCCCUUGAGGCGUGGCUUCCGGAGCUAACGCGUUAAA
rnacentral:rRNA from 1 species